GACGAACGCUGGCGGCGUGCCUAAUACAUGCAAGUAGAACGCUUAAGGAGGAGCUUGCUUCUCUGGAUGAGUUGCGAACGGGUGAGUAACGCGUAGGUAACCUGCCUGGUGGGGGGGAAUAACUGUUGAAAGGGUUAGCUACUACAGACGAAUAGAGGAUGUUCCUGGACAUUUUUUAAAACUUUCGAUUUGCAUCCCUACUAGAUGGACUUGAGUUGUUUUAGCUAUUUGGUGAGGUAACGGCUACCCAAGGGAACGGUACUUAGACGACCUGAGAGGGUGGUCGGCCACACUGGGACUGAGACACGGCCCAGACUCCUAAGGGAGGCAGCAGUAGGGGAUCUUUGGAAAUGGACGGAAGUCUGACCGAGCAACGCCGCGUGAGUGAAGAAGGUUCUCGGAUCGGAAAGCUCGGUUGUAAGAGAAGAACGAGUGUGAGAGUGGAAAGUUCACACUGUGACGGUAUCUUAACAGAAAGGGACGGCUAACUACGUG
rnacentral:rRNA from 1 species